GACGAACGCUGGCGGCGUGCUUAACACAUGCAAGUCGAACGGAGUUAAGUAAGAAGUUUACUUCUUACUUAACUUAGUGGCGGACGGGUGAGUAACGCGUGGGCAACCUACCCUUAAAACCGGGACAACAGUUGGAAACGACUGCUAAUACCGGAUACGCUUCUUGAGUGACAUCGCUUGAGAAGGAAAGAUGGCCUCUGCAUAUGCUAUCGAUUAAGGAUGGGCCCGCGUCUGAUUAGCUAGUUGGUGAGGUAACGGCUCACCAAGGCGACGAUCAGUAGCCGGCCUGAGAGGGUGAUCGGCCACACUGGGACUGAGACACGGCCCAGACUCCUACGGGAGGCAGCAGUGGGGAAUCUUCCGCAAUGGGCGAAAGCCUGACGGAGCAACGCCGCGUGAAUGACGAAGGCCUUCGGGUCGUAAAGUUCUGUCUUAUGGGACGAACGUGCGCUUAGUGAAUAAUUAAGUGUAAUGACGGUACUAUAGGAGGAAGCCCCGGCUAACUACGUGCCAGCAGCCGCGGUAAUACGUAGGGGGCAAGCGUUGUCCGGAAUUACUGGGCGUAAAGGGCGUGUAGGUGGGUAAUUAAGUCAUGGGUGAAAACUGCGGGCUCAACUUGCAGAGUGCCUAUGAAACUGGAUAUCUUGAGGGCAGGAGAGGAAAGUGGAAUUCCUAGUGUAGCGGUGAAAUGCGUAGAUAUUAGGAGGAACACCAGUGGCGAAGGCGACUUUCUGGACUGACCCUGACACUGAGGCGCGAAAGCUAGGGGAGCGAACGGGAUUAGAUACCCCGGUAGUCCUAGCCGUAAAC
rnacentral:rRNA from 1 species